rnacentral:rRNA from 1 species
AAGAGACAGCAGCCGCCGCGGGAAUACAGAGGGUGCGAGCGUUAAUCGGAUUUACUGGGCGUAAAGCGUGCGUAGGCGGCUAAUUGAGUCGGAUGUGAAAUCCCCGAGCUUAACUUGGGAAUUGCAUUCGAUACUGGUUAGCUAGAGUGUGGGAGAGGAUGGUAGAAUUCCAGGUGUAGCGGUGAAAUGCGUAGAGAUCUGGAGGAAUACCGAUGGCGAAGGCAGCCAUCUGGCCUAACACUGACGCUGAGGUACGAAAGCAUGGGGAGCAAACAGGAUUAGAUACCCCUGUAGUCCCUGUCUCUUAUAU